rnacentral:lncRNA from 1 species
CACUCAUGUUAGUGUGACGCCUUAUGAUGGGUGUUAAUUUCGCGGGUGGUUUCAGCGUGGUGAACCUGGUCCUAAUUUUACAGGUCACUGGAAUUUCCGGCUACACGUAUGGGUCAGAAAGAAGUUCAUUCUCGCGAGACGCACAGCUUCUAGAUUUUGAUUCCGUGGCUCAAAAAGUUUCUCAUGUCAUUUGGAAGGAUGCUGCGGCCUGCCCUAUUUCAGCGGCUUUCGCUCAAAUCAGCCGUCUAAAUAACAGAGAAUCAGUUGAAAAUGCCUUGAGGAAAGCUCUGAGUACUGACCCAUCCGUCAUAGUCAAAAGUAAAACAGACGGUAUAAGAGAUGUGAUUUGUGAGGCUGCCAAACAGUUCUCGGAGCAGGUUGAGUCCCUUAAGAAGAAUACCGUAGUAACGGACGAUGACCCGUGGGUUAACGACAAAAAUGUCGAAGACGCAUUAAACAAUCUGAAGAAAGACAAGUCUCAGGUGAAUUUCAGAGAAGUCGCCGGGGGCGUGAACACGAGGAACAGUGGCUAUCGCCUCGGCGACUUGAAGCGGACGGCAUACAACAAACUCUCCGCUGUUCGCAACGCCUUCCGCCGCGAAAUCUACCAAAUCCAUCACAGCGCUGACUCCGCCGUGAACGUCCUGCGCGAAGGCACCCGCGCUAUGCAAACCAUCAAACGCGCGCUGGCCGUCGGUCAGAAAUUGGGCUGCUUCGGAGGGACCAUGAGAGAGAAACAAAAUCCUGCGGAAUCAACCCUGUCGGAGGCGGAUCUCGGCAGCGUUAUCGGUCCAUCCGAACCUGUGUCCAGUCCGAAUUCAAGAAAUCCUGCGAAAUCAACCCUGUCUGAGGAGAACCUCGGCGUCGUUAUCGGUCCAUCCGAACCUGUGUCCAGUCCGAAUUCAAGAAAUCCUGCGAAAUCAACCCUGACCGAGGAGGAUCUCGGCAGCGUUAUCGGUCCAUUCGAACCUGUGUCCAGUCCGAAUUCAAGAAAUCAUGCGAAAUCAACCCUGUCUAGGGAAAAUCUCGGUGUCGUUAUCGGCCCAUCCGAGCCUGUGUCCAGUCCGAAUUCAAGAAAUCCUGCGAAAUCAACCCUGUCUGAGGAGAACCUCGGUGUCGUUAUCGGCCCAUCCGAACCUGUGUCCAGUCCGAAUUCAAGUUCGACGGAUGAUGAAUUGCGUAGAGUCAUCCCAGGCCGAAUGGUUUCUUCGAGUCCGCCGACACCUAGCCGUGGUCAGGCUGUCUUCAACCCGUUUAUGUCCAACGGUCACGGUAAAGACCGCAGCAGGAUUGAUUUUCCGAAAGUUUCACAACCCUCGAAUGCAAAAAAAUCAGUCCCGAGCGAACCGAAAAAAGAAGAGCCGAGACCUUUUGUCCCCCAUCCGUUACAUUUCGAUGGCUAA